AGAGUUUGAUCCUGGCUCAGAUUGAACGCUGGCGGCAUGCCUAACACAUGCAAGUCGAACGGCAGCAUGAGGUGUAGCAAUACAUCUUGAUGGCGAGUGGCGGACGGGUGAGGAAUGCAUCGGAAUCUGCCCAGUCGUGGGGGACAACGCAGGGAAACUUGCGCUAAUACCGCAUACGACCUUCGGGUGAAAGCAGGGGAUCUUCGGACCUUGCGCGAUUGGAUGAGCCGAUGCCGGAUUAGCUUGUUGGCGGGGUAACGGCCCACCAAGGCGACGAUCCGUAGCUGGUCUGAGAGGAUGAUCAGCCACACUGGGACUGAGACACGGCCCAGACUCCUACGGGAGGCAGCAGUGGGGAAUAUUGGACAAUGGGGGCAACCCUGAUCCAGCAAUGCCGCGUGUGUGAGGAAGGCCUUCGGGUUGUAAAGCACUUUUAUCGGGAACGAAACAUUGUCGGCCAAUACCCGGCAAGACUGACGGUACCCGAGGAAUAAGCACCGGCUAACUACGUGCCAGCAGCCGCGGUAAUACGUAGGAGGCAAGCGUUGUCCGGAGUUACUGGGCGUAAAGGGCGCGCAGGCGGCUUGCCGCGUUCCAGGUGAAAGCUCUCGGCUUAACCGGGAGAGGUUCUGGAAAACGGGUGAGCUUGAGCGUCGGAGAGGGGCAUGGAACUCCGGGUGGAGCGGUGAAAUGCGUAGAGAUCCGGAAGAACACCAAUGGCGAAGGCAGUGCCCUGGCCGACUGCUGACGCUCAGGCGCGAAAGCGUGGGGAGCAAACAGGAUUAGAUACCCUGGUAGUCCACGCUGUAAACGAUGUCCACUAGGUGUGCAAGGUAUCGACCCCUUGUGUGCCGUAGCAAACGCAUUAAGUGGACCGCCUGGGGAGUACGGUCGCAAGAUUAAAACUCAAAGGAAUUGACGG
rnacentral:rRNA from 1 species